GAUGAACGCUGGCGGCGCGCCUAACACAUGCAAGUCGAACGAUUAAAGCACCUUCGGUUGUGUAUAAAGUGGCGAACGACUGAGGAACACGUGGGCAACCUGCCCCUUUCAUUGGGAUAGCCACGGGAAAGCGUGGAGAAUACCGAGUAAUUGGAGGCUUCGGCCUGGGAGACUCGAUGAAUCUCCGGCGGCGCGGGAUGGGCCGGCGGCCUGCUAGCUUGUUGGUGGGGUAACGGCCUACCAAGGCAAUGAUGGGUAGCUGGGUUGAGAGACCGACCAGCCAGAUUGGGACUGAGACACGGCCCAGACUCCUACGGGAGGCAGCAGUGGGGAAUCUUGCACAAUGGGCGAAAGCCUGAUGCAGCGACGCCGCGUGCGGGAUGACGGCCUUCGGGUUGUAACCCGCUUUCAGCAGGGACGAGGCGAAAGUGACGGUACCUGCAGAAGAAGCCCCGGCUACCUACGUG
rnacentral:rRNA from 1 species